CCGUUGCGUACGUAAGUGUUGAAAUUUAAAACGCGCACGAUGCCGAAAGUUUCCCCAAAAAAACGGUCAAAAUCGAAAAGAGGCCUCGCAGGCCAAUUAAAAGUGAUUAAAAAUAUGCUAUCACGCUUAGAGAGGAAAAUAAAUUCGGAAGAAGAAUCUGAUUCAUCAUUAUCGGAUGUAUCAUCUAUACAAUCAGAAAAACCUUCUUCAUAUUCCAGUCAAUCUGAAGAAAUGGAGGAAGGGGAAAACAGUCCAUCAGCACCUAAUGAGAUAGGUGCUAAUAAUAUUCAGGUGCCUGCUGUGCCGAUAGCAGCAGAAGAUUCCCUAUCUGUUAUUCAUUUAUUAAAAGAACAUCCUAAUACUGAAAGUAUCUUAGGCCCUG
rnacentral:misc_RNA from 1 species